AUUGAACGCUGGCGGCAUGCUUUACACAUGCAAGUCGAACGGCAGCGCGGGCUUCGGCCUGGCGGCGAGUGGCGAACGGGUGAGUAAUGCAUUGGAACGUGCCCAGUAGUGGGGGAUAGCCCGGCGAAAGCCGGAUUAAUACCGCAUACGACCUGAGGGUGAAAGCGGGGGACCGAAAGGCCUCGCGCUAUUGGAGCGGCCGAUGUCGGAUUAGCUAGGUGGUGGGGUAAAGGCUUACCAAGGCGACGAUCCGUAGCUGGUCUGAGAGGACGACCAGCCACACUGGGACUGAGACACGGCCCAGACUCCUACGGGAGGCAGCAGUGGGGAAUUUUGGACAAUGGGGGCAACCCUGAUCCAGCCAUGCCGCGUGCGGGAAGAAGGCCUUCGGGUUGUAAACCGCUUUUGUUCGGGAAGAAAUCCUCUGGGCUAAUACCCCGGGGGGAUGACGGUACCGGAAGAAUAAGCACCGGCUAACUACGUG
rnacentral:rRNA from 1 species